CUGUUAGUUAUUGAUACUACAGAAUGGUCAGAGUAUUUCAUGAUAACAAAAAAGUCUUGUAGAGAUGCUUAUUUAAGAACCUUUCAAUAUAAAUUUUUGCAUAGAAUUAUAGCAACGAAUACCUUUUUGUACAAAAUCAAAUUAAAAGAUACCAAGUUAUGCACUUUUUGUAAACUUGGAGAAGAAACCAUUGAACACCUGUUUUUUGAAUGCCCAAUAACUUUUCAAUUGUGGCAGUCUUUUUUCAAUAUUGUGAAA
rnacentral:lncRNA from 1 species